rnacentral:lncRNA from 1 species
UAAUUAAACAUUGGAGAGAUAAGCCAUUAAUUUUUAAAUAAAUGGUUUUAUAAAGUAUAUUUAGUAACCACUCAAAAUAAUAUUUUGAGGAUAUUUACUGAUUCAGAAUAUGAAAUUAAAAUGUAGCAUGCAUGUAUUUAUAUGUGUGAGAAUGUGUGUAUAUGUGCAGCAGAGGAAAGAAAUACAUUGAAAAUGCCCCUGUAUUUUCUCCAAGUAGUGGUAACAGAGUUUAUUUAAAAUGUAUUAUUUAUCCUUGGCUAUAUUUUCCAUGUCUUGUAAGAUAAAUGUUAGUGAAUUUCAGAAUUUUAUAAUCAAAAUUUUAAAUAUUAAUCUGUGUUAUGUUUUGUGGUGUCAGAAACAGUAUGGCUUGUUCUGAACGUACAUGACAUAAAACUAAAAAGUGGAAAUUUAAACUAGAGAGGGUAAAUAGAAAGCAUCCUUAUCUAAGUCAGUAAAUUAGUUUAUUUUUAAUUUUAUGGAGAUUUUAUAUAAUAAGGUUUUAGAAUAGAAUGUUUUAAAUAGACGGUAAGGAAUCUGACUAUAAUGCAGGAGACCCAGGUUCAGUCCUUGGGUCAGGAAGAUCCCCUGGAGAAGGAAAUGGCAACCUACUCCAGUAUUGUGGCUUGGAGAAUUCCAUGGACAGAGGAGCUUGGUGGGCUACAGUCCUUGAAGUCAAGAGGAGUUGAACGUGACUGACCGACUUUAACACUUUCACUUUCAUACUUUUAAAGCAUUUAUAUCUAUUAUCCAAGUUGAUUUUUGUAAUACUUUGUAGUAUAAAUUUACAUUAUAACAUGUCUUGCCCAAAGUCAUGAACACAUUUAUUCAUUUACAUAUAGAUGUGGGUCCCUGGUAUGUGCCCAGUGUUGUAUCUACUGAAAUGCAAGAGUGAACCAGACAGAUUUUCUGGGUGUCAAGCAACAUCAACACUGAUGAACCCUGGAUUCAAGCCCAUCUUCUGGACCACAGGCUCACACUCUUUCACUACAAGAAGCCACAUGUUGAAGACGGAAGAGGUUUUAUCAGUCUGGGAUUCAAAUGCAAGAACCCCCAUGAUCAUCUCGCCGUGA